GAAACCAACAGGGAUUGCCCUAGUAACGGCGAGUGAAGCGGCAACAGCUCAAAUUUGAAAUCUGGCUCUCGGGCCCGAGUUGUAAUUUGUAGAGGAUGCUUUUGGUGAGGUGCCUUCCGAGUUCCCUGGAACGGGACGCCAUAGAGGGUGAGAGCCCCGUCUGGUUGGACACCGAGCCUCUGUAAAGCUCCUUCGACGAGUCGAGUAGUUUGGGAAUGCUGCUCUAAAUGGGAGGUAUAUGUCUUCUAAAGCUAAAUAUUGGCCAGAGACCGAUAGCGCACAAGUAGAGUGAUCGAAAGAUGAAAAGCACUUUGAAAAGAGAGUUAAAAAGUACGUGAAAUUGUUGAAAGGGAAGCGCUUAUGACCAGACUUGGGCUUGGUUGAUCAUCCAGGGUUCUCCCUGGUGCACUCUUCCAGUCCAGGCCAGCAUCAGUUUGCUUUGGGGGAUAAAGGCGUCGGGAAUGUGGCUCCCCUCGGGGAGUGUUAUAGCCCGUCGUGUAAUACCCUGGGGCAGACUGAGGUUCGCGCAUCUGCAAGGAUGCUGGCGUAAUGGUCAUCAGCGACCCGUCUUGAAACACGGACCAAGGAGUCGUCUUCGUAUGCGAGUGUUCGGGUGUCAAACCCCUACGCGUAAUGAAAGUGAACGCAGGUGAGAGCUUCGGCGCAUCAUCGACCGAUCCUGAUGUUCUCGGAUGGAUUUGAGUAAGAGCAUACGGGGCCGGACCCGAAAGAAGGUGAACUAUGCCUGUAUAGGGUGAAGCCAGAGGAAACUCUGGUGGAGGCUCGCAGCGGUUCUGACGUGCAAAUCGAUCGUCAAAUAUGGGCAUGGGGGCGAAAGACUAAUCGAACCUUCUAGUAGCUG
rnacentral:rRNA from 1 species